rnacentral:rRNA from 1 species
UUGAACUGCAUUUGAAACUGGGAGCCUAGAGUUCAGAAGGGGCAGAUGAAAUUAGUGGUGUAGGGGUAAAAUCCGUAGAUAUCACUAGGAAUAUCAAAAGCGAAGGCGAUCUGCUGGGAUGAUACUAACGCUGAGGCACGAAAGCGUGGGGAGCAAACAGGAUUAGAUACCCUGGUAGUCCACGCCCUAAACGAUGAAUGCUAGUCGUCGGGGAGCUCGUCUCUUCGGUGAUGCACUUAACAGAUUAAGCAUUCCGCCUGGGGAGUACGGUCGCAAGAUUAAAACUCAAAGGAAUAGACGGGGACCCGCACAAGUGGUGGAGCAUGUGGUUUAAUUCGAAGAUACACGAAGAACCUUACCUGGCCUUGACAUGGUAGGAACCCUUAAGAGAUUAGGGGGUGCUAGCUUGCUAGAACCUACACACAGGUGCUGCACGGCUGUCGUCAGCUCGUGUCGUGAGAUGUUGGGUUAAGUCCCGCAACGAGCGCAACCCUCGUCUUUAGUUGCUAACAGUUAGGCUGAGCACUCUAAAGAGACUGCCUCCGUAAGGAGGAGGAAGGUGAGGACGACGUCAAGUCAUCAUGGCCCUUACGGCCAGGGCUACACACGUGCUACAAUGGGGCGUACAAAGAGCUGCAAUACCGCGAGGUGGAGCCAAUCUCUUAAAGCGUCUCUCAGUUCGGAUUGUUCUCUGCAACUCGAGAACAUGAAGCUGGAAUCACUAGUAAUCGUAGAUCAGCUAUGCUACGGUGAAUACGUUCCCGGGUCUUGUACUCACCGCCCGUCACA